rnacentral:rRNA from 1 species
AGUUAACUUCAACGGCCGCGGUAUCCUGACCGUGCAAAGGUAGCAUAAUCAUUUGUCUCCUAAAUAGGGACUUGUAUGAAAGGCAAAACGAGGGUUUAACUGUCUCUUAUUCUUAAUCAAUGAAAUUGACCUACCCGUGCAGAGGCGGGUAUAAUUAUAUAAGACGAGAAGACCCUGUGGAGCUUAAAAUUAUAGCUUAAAUAAAGAUACUCAUUCUCCCAAGGGAUUAAAGAUAUCAAACUCUUAAGCUAAAUUUUUGGUUGGGGUGACCUCGGAGCAUAAAAAAACCUCCGAAUGCUAUAACCAAGAUUAACCAAUCCAAGUGCCACAAGCCAGUAAUUGACCCAAAUUUUGAUCAACGGAACAAGUUACCCCAGGGAUAACAGCGCAAUCCUAUUU